rnacentral:rRNA from 1 species
GACGAACGCUGGCGGCGUGCUUAACACAUGCAAGUCGAACGGAAAGGCCCUGCUUUUGUGGGGUGCUCGAGUGGCGAACGGGUGCGUAACACGUGAGUAACCUUCCCUUGCCUUUGGGAUAACUUCAGGAAACUGGGGCUAAUACCAGAUAGUAGCUCCUGCUGCUUGGUGGGGGUUGGAAAGUUUCGGUGGUUGGGGAUGGACUCGCGGCUUAUCAGCUUGUUGGUGGGGUAGUGGCUUACCAAGGCUUUGACGGGUAGCCGGCCUGAGAGGGUGACCGGCCACAUUGGGACUGAGAUACGGCCCAGACUCCUACGGGAGGCAGCAGUGGGGAAUAUUGCACAAUGGGCGGAAGCCUGAUGCAGCAACGCCGCGUGCGGGAUGACGGCCUUCGGGUUGUAAACCGCUUGCGCCUGUGACGAAGCGUGAGUGACGGUAAUGGGUAAAGAAGCACCGGCUAACUACGUG